rnacentral:lncRNA from 1 species
CUUCACUCCUCUGUGGAGAGAGACACAGGGAUUCCUGACCAAGCUGCCAUGGAUCCUUCCCUCCUCCAGGUCUGCUAACUCCAGGCCCUCCCUGUCCAGCCACGUUGUCUGGAGGCCACCUGGCAGUCUCAUCUGGGUUGGGAGGCGUGGGGUCUCAGAGCGGGAGGAGAGAACCUCGUGGUGGGGGGAGCUAGCAGUGAGGGAGUGGGCUGUGGGGAGUCUGGGUCCCACCCCCGGGACUCUGUCAGUGGCAGGGUAGGGGUACCCAGAGCCAUGGCAGGAACCACCCCCUGCCCGCCCCCGACUAGAGGCUCAGCUUCCCUGCGUGCACCUAGCUCAGGAAGCCUUCCUUUCUAGUCUCUACAGCUGUUUCCCUCUUUUCCCAUCUCAUUCUUCCCUCUUCAUUUCUGGCCUAUCUUUUAACAUCUCCAUCCCUUUGAUGCCUCAUCCAUCUCCUCUUCACCGUCUUGUCUUUGCCUGUUCCCUUUUCUGCUUCUCUGCUCCUCUUAAGGCUGGGUUUUCCUCCUGCGUCUCCUCUGUGCGCCUGUGAGUGUCCCCUGUCUGCUCAUCCUCUCUCCCUCUGUCCACCUGUUUCUCUUUCUUCCAGCGUUUCUCCAUCUCACGCGCUGCCUCUGUCAUUUUCUCUCUUUCUUCGUCUUUCUCUCUCUCUCAUUGUUCUGAGACAUAGCAGUGCCUGGCCCAGCGGGGACAACAUGUUUCACAGACAAAUCAUCCAACAAAAGAGAGGAGGAACGUGCUUCAGUAACUCUGGACUUGGCCAUGUGACUUUCUUGGGCCAAUGGGACAUGAGCAAGCAUGAUACCAGCAGGGAUUUGAUUCUUCCUCCACCUCAGCUGAAAGGAUUCAUCUUGCAGCACGGCCCACCUUGGAACCCUUUGUGUUUGCUGAAACUUUCUUUGUGAUUAUUCUUAUGUCACUGCAUAGCAUGUAAAUGUAUCACACCCCCCCCCCACCCAUUAUUAUUAUCUCCUAGUAUGCACCAGGCACUGGCCAUAAAUUAUUUCUAAUCAUCAUUAAAACUCUACCACGGUUAUCCUCCCUCUAUGGAUAGGAAAACUAAGGCUUGGAGGUUGAAGAGGUCAUGGAUCUUGUCCAAGGUCACUAAACUCAUAAAUGUCACAGUCAAAAUUUGAAUCUAGAUAGAGUUGUCAGCUCCAAAGAAGUUUGCUCAGUCAGUUCUUCCCCAAAUUAGCUUUUUAUCCAAAUUUGCUGAGAAGCUUUUUAAAAAUACAUCUUCUUUACAACAAAGCCAGAGAAAGAAUAAGGCAGCUCUCUGCACAACAAUAUGGUGCUCGUAUAUGCCUAGAACAUCUCCAGGAAGAAGCUGGCUGUCCCCAUGCCUUCUGCUCCCGCUUCUGGAAGGGAAGACAGGGCAGGGACCAUGUCCAGCUGCAGAAAAUCCCAGUGUUUUUCUGUGGCAUUGCCUGGUAAAGGCUGAACGUGGCUUUCGUGAGAGCUAAUCUGCCUGCCCAACCAGAUUGUGCUGUGGCUAAAAUUGCUGUGAGCUCGACAGUGCCUGAAGACUGGAGAAAACUGAGCCAUGUCUUGGAUGCUCUUGCGGGGCCUAGGGGAGUGCCAGGCCAGAAGGAGAACUGCCUGUGGACUCUCAGUAGGAAAGCAGCUAACGAGGUGAUGAGUGAGUGUCGCCUGGAAGUCUGGGGGCCAUUCCAUGUGGGUCACAUCGCCUGACCAGAGGGUUGGGUGCCUGGACAGGGCUGAGCUUGGGACUCCUUCCAGGGCCUGGCCUCAGCUGCUGGGCCUGCCGAGCAUGCCCCACAAGCACCCACGCACACAUACAAGUAUGGAGGCAGAGUGGAAGUUUGACUUUUGCAGAUCUCGUACAGCCUGGAGUAGAGAAGAGAAUUGGGAACUCUCAAUGUUGUGUGACCCUAGGCAAGUCCCUUCCCUGCCUUGUGCCUCAGUUUCCCUUUACAUACCAUGAGGAUGUUCCCAGUGUUGGUGUUUUAAUGCCUGCAGACAAGCUAAGCUCAUCAUCUGGUUCCCGGAAGAGAUCCUCCUUUUGUGGAAAGGCCACAGCCACUCUGCCACCCUGAGGCUCCCACUCCUCCUUCUCUGGAACCCUCUCCCUUGCCUGUAGGUCACGGGAAUGUCAAGAGCACCCAGGGAAGUGCCUGCUGCCAGUCAUCACUCACUGAUUAUGUGACAGCAGAGGAGCCAAGAAGCUGCUGGGAAUCGAGACACCCCCCCAUUCAGUCCCCACCAUCUCUGUCUUCAUGAGGUUCCCUGGGAGAAGCUCCUAUGUCUGGGAAUGGAAAUGUCUCCACCUGGAUAGGGACAAACAGGAGCUGGGGGCUGCAUCUUAAGACUUCUUGUCCCAUUAGUGCUGACCUCUGGAGACGGCUCCUGAAUUGUGCCCACUCCCCCACCUCCUCACCACACACAUGCUCUGGGCCGUGCGAGGCUCAGCUUGUCACGGACAAGCUAAAAUGAGGUGGCCUGAAUGCCCCUUAUCAUAGACAGCUUAUCUCCUGUGGUCACUCACCUGACAGACUCCAGAGAGCCACUCAGCGGGCCUCUCCCAGCCGCCUGCUUCUCAGCUCUGACUCUCCCUUGCCUUAAGGGGACACUGGAUUCCAGUGACCCUCCUAUUGGUCAGAGUUGGGCUGAGCACAGAGAAGGGGUAGAAUGCUCCUGGGAACUCGGAAAGCUCUGGGAUGCCAGCUUUUCCCACAUGUUCUCACUCACCCCUCUGUAAUACAGAUUCUGCAGCCCUGCCCCCCACACACACACUCCUACACCUCUGCUCUCAAAGUGAAGAAGUAGGCUAAUAUCUGUGGUACAUUUAUUUACCUACUCCCUGAGACUGCAGCUCCCUUAGUCAGUGUUGUGUCCUCCACUCAGGCUGGGGCUCCCUGAGGAUGGGGCUGUGUCUCCCCUCAGACUGGGGUUCCCCAAGGACAGGGCUGUGUCUCUCCUUAGGCUGGGGUCCCUGAGGGUGGGGCUGUGUCUCCCUGCAGAUUGGGGCUCCCUGAGGAUGGGGCUGUGUCUCCCUGAAGACUGGGGCUCCCUGAGGACAGGGCUGUGUCUCCCCUCAGGCUGGGGCUCCUUGAGGAUGGGACACUUUAAAGAAGAGAAAUUGACAGGUUGACCCUGGGGGAUCUUUGGGUCAAUAAAACAUUCUAUAGACCCUCAGUGGUCAGACUAGGAUGAUACCUUGA